AGAGAGACAAAGCCUUCCCCUGGGAGUUGACGCCCUGAAUUUGGACUUGUAGCCUACUGACUGUGAGAGAAUAAAUUUCUCUUUGUUAAAGCAAAAAAAAAAAAAAAAGUAGCCUAUAGCUCGGCUUUGAGCUGUAACCUUUAAAAGUGGCUUGUUUUGUUUCACGUAAUGCAUUCACGUGAUCCAAUUAACUAAAACUAAAACGGGUCUAGUUUCACUACUCAUUAAUUUUUGUUUGACAAUUCAGAAAACAAUCAAAAAACGAACAUGUUCUAUUUCCAAAAACUGGAGGGUUUUUGUGGCCAUGACUCACUCAUCCUGUGAUUGUCCUGUGACCGUUUAGGAACGUUUCUGCUUAAACUUUGAUGAUGUUUUGAACGCAUACUGUUCCAUCCAAUCAGAAUUUUUGUUUAAAGUUCCUGAUAAAAUUGUAGUUGUUGUGCCGUCAGGUGGAUUCCGACUCAUGGCAACCCCAGGGGACAGAGUACAACUGCCCCAGAGAGCUUUCUUGGUUAUAAUUUUUAAAAGCAAAUUUCAUUUUUCAACCAAGAUAGUUAAUGCUUGCGUCUCUAAAAUGAUGUUUUUCUCCUUAACCCCAUGUUAUGUCCCCCUUAACAGUACUUUAAUGAAAUUCUUUAAUGAUGUCAUCUAAUACCUAUUUCUUAUUCACAGUUCUUGGAUCGUCACAGCUGAACCUCUUUGCAGUCAAGUGUGUUGUGUGUCACAGUUCUUAUACCUUAGGUGCAUCUUGAAGCUGAGGGGCCGUCCAGUCACCCCCAUCUUGGUGCUGUCAAGUUGGUUCCGACUCAUAGCGACACUGUGUGCAGCAGAACGAAACACUGCCCGGUCCUGUGCCGUCCUCACAGCCAUUACGCUUGAGCCUGUUGUUGGAGCCACUGUGUCAGCCCAUCUCGUUGGGGGUCUUUUUCACUGACCCUCUGCUUUGCCGGGCACGAUCCUUCUUCAGGGACUGGUCCCUCCUGAUAACAUGUCCAAAGUGUGUGAGACAAAGUCUUGCCAUCCUUGCUUCUGAGGAGCAUUCUGGCUCUACUUGUUCCAAGACAGAUUCGUUCGUUCCAGCAGUCCAUGGUAUAUUCGGUAUUCUUCAGCAUUGCAAUUCAAAGGCGUUGAUUCUUCCGUCUUCCUUAUUCGUUGUCCAGCAUUUCUAUACAUAUGAGGCGAUUGAAAAUACCAUGGCUUGAGUCAGGUGCACUUUAGUCCUCGAAGUGACAUUUUCACUAAAUGAAAUUGAUAUCAUUUUAUAAGUUUUGUCUAUGAGAACAAUUAUAUUUUCCUUUUCAUCUCGGACCAAUCGUGUAUAAUGCUCACAUUCAGUUCUCGUUGACCCCCUAAGAACGUGCCAGUGGCACUAUAAUACCGUGACUCAUAGUGUAUCUGGCCCUGUCCUGUGCAGAGUGAACCAAAUGCAUCUUCAGAUCGAACAUACCCUUGUAUCAUGCUCUUUGCAAACGCUCUUACCUCCCGUUGGGUAUCAGCAGUAGUCCAAUGAACUGUGAAGACGCAACGUCAAAGGACAGAAAGUGAGUGUGUAAUUUUUUAAGUGUUCAACGUGAAGAACACUUGUGGAGAUCUGUUGUGAAGGGCCUGCCAACAAACAUCGUAUGACAAAUGAGUGAGAUGAUUUCUGACUGCCUUGUAAAAUGGAACGGCAGCAACUAAGUGGAGCGCAAAAACGAAAGCUCACGGAGGAAAAAAAGAAAAGGAUCUGUGAAUCCCUAAAGACA